rnacentral:rRNA from 1 species
UACAGAGGGUGCAAGCGUUAAUCGGAUUUACUGGGCGUAAAGGGCGCGUAGGUGGUGGCGUAAGUGAGAUGUGAAAUCCCCGGGCUUAACCUGGGACGUGCAUCUUAGACUGCGUAGCUAGAGUGUAGUAGAGGGUAGUGGAAUUUCCGGUGUAGCGGUGAAAUGCGUAGAUAUCGGAAGGAACACCAGUGGCGAAGGCGGCUACCUGGACUAACACUGACACUGAGGCACGAAGGCCAGGGGAGCAAACGGG